rnacentral:tRNA from 1 species
GAGGGUAGAGCUCAGUGGUAGAGUGUGUGCUUAGCAUGCACAAGGUCCUGGGUUCAAUCCCCAGUACCUUCA